rnacentral:rRNA from 1 species
UACGUAGGGGGCAAGCGUUGUCCGGAUUUAUUGGGCGUAAAGAGCGUGUAGGCGGCUUUGCAAGUCCGUUGUGAAAACUCGAGCUCAACCUCGAGACGCCGGUGGAAACUGCAAAGCUAGAGUCCGGAAGAGGAGAGUGGAAUUCCUGGUGUAGCGGUGAAAAUGCGCAGAUAUCAGGAAGAACACCCGUGGCGAAAGGCGGCUCUCUGGGGACGGUACUGACGCUGAGACGCGAAAAGCGUGGGG